rnacentral:rRNA from 1 species
UUGUAAUUUCGAGAAGCGUUUUCCGCGGCGGCCUGUGUACAAGUCCCUUGGAAUAGGGCGUCAUAGAGGGUGAGAGUCCCGUCCUUGACACAGAUACCCGUUGCUUUGUGAUACGCUCUCCAUGAGUCGAGUUGUUUGGGAAUGCAGCUCAAAAUGGGUGGUAAAUUCCAUCUAAAGCUAAAUAUUGGCGAGAGACCGAUAGCGAACAAGUACCGUGAGGGAAAGAUGAAAAGCACUUUGGAAAGAGAGUCAAACAGUACGUGAAAUUGUUGAAAGGGAAACGAUUGAAGUCAGUCGUGCUUGCCUUGAUUCAGCCGGCCCUGUGCCGGUGCAUUUCUUGGUUGGCAGGUCAGCAUCACUUUGGCAGAGUUGACAAGGGCUGGAGAAAUGUGGCAUCCUCGGAUGUGUUAUAGUCUCCUG